rnacentral:rRNA from 1 species
UACGUAGGGUGCGAGCGUUGUCCGGAAUUAUUGGGCGUAAAGGGCUCGUAGGCGGUUUGUCGCGUCGGGAGUGAAAACCAGGUGCUUAACACCUGGCUUGCUUUCGAUACGGGCAGACUAGAGGUAUUCAGGGGAGAACGGAAUUCCUGGUGUAGCGGUGAAAUGCGUAGAUAUCAGGAGGAAUACCGAUGGCGAAGGCAGGUCUCUGGGCUGACACUGACGCUCAUGCACGAAAGCGUGGGGAGCAAACAGG